GAACUGUGACCUUUCAUGUUUGUGUGUGUAAGCAUGUGUCUGAAGAUUUAGGGUUUCCGUCCAGUUGAAAGAAGUCGGCAUUUUCACCUAUCUGGAUUACCUGGGACCCGCCCACAGCUGUAAGACUGCUGCAGAAACUUUUUUUUUCCCCAUGUGAGGUGACGGUCAGGUCUUUCGAAGAGUCGAGGAAAUACCGCCACAGUCAUAAGAAGUCAGAUGAACUGAUAUGUGGCUCGCAUCAUAGCACACUUGCCAUAGUGUCAAGGGACCUGUUGAGUAAGGACAUCCUGCGUGGGAAGAUUCUGAAUGAAACCCGUAGAAAAAUGGACAACAUGUCUUGGGAUUCCCCAGGAAAGGUCCAGAGUAGGUGCCUCAAAAAUUGCUGCCCUAUAAAAGGAGGGAGACAAAGCAGCAAGAGAGACUUCACCACACUAGGCUUUCUUCAAGUGCUGGGGACAAUUGGAUCUUUGCAGCAGAAUCUUUUAAAGCCCAGAAGAAGCUUUUGCUCGCAUCUGUCAAUUCAGAGAAACCUGAACCUGUCCAUCCACCAUGGCAAACUCAUCGUCUUCCUCCUCCUCCUCCUCCUCCUCUGCAUGGAUGCUGCUCCCACUGCUGCUGGUUUUCCUUCACACCUCGUCCAGCGCUCCUAUUUUUGACCAUGAGUUGUGGAUUCAGAUCAAACAAUUAGGAGAAACAUUAAAGGUAAGAAAUGAUCACAUUGUGCCAAAGCACACCCAUUUUGGUUUCACUUUUGUGAAAGGCGAUUGUGUUGCGACAUGAAUUACUCUUUUCUGCAAUUCGUGAAAUAGAAACUUGUCUGGUUAAACUCAACAUUUUGUGAUUUUUAAUGAGUUGUUUGUGAUUUUCAACGCCAAACGCUGCUGUAGAAGCAGCUUUCUGACUGACAUGACAGUCACCAGACAAGUGAUGACAGUGUGUGGGUUCAAACAGAUUGGUAGAUAAAACUGUUCAAGCCGUUUAUUGUGUCUUUCUGCAGCGUCUGCAUGCAACACUCAGCUGGUGUUUUUAGCUAAACAUGUUGCUUUUUUGUGAAGUGUUUAACUUUAUUUUUAUUUUUUAUUUCUUUGCAGAAGUGCACACCAGACUGCAGCUCGGAUGACAUCCCUAACAACGGGUGCCAUUUUCUCAACCUUACCAAGGAAUUUAAAGUACUUCAGACAGAAAACAACCAAACACAGGUUUGCAUAAGGUACUUCACGGCCGGUCUCGAGUCUUACAAGAAUCUCCUGGAAAAACCUACAGGAUCCUGCAAGACGGAUCAUCUCAAUUUUGAUCAUCUGGAAAGGAAAUUGAAUAAUUCCAUCCUCCCAACAGAGCUGUGUAAAUCUGAGGAUAAACUUCAGCCCAUCAUCUCACCGUAUGCACUCCACGAGGUUCUGGAACACACAUUCCAAAAAUACAAUGCAGUAAAAGCCUUUUCCUAAAUCCUGAGAUCAGAACUUUGUGUGAUUGUUGCACGACCCUAAACUCAGGAAACCGCUUCCAGUGCUCCAUCUGGAACAAAGCAGCGUAUUUACAUUCUUAUUUAUGACUUUUGUUCACUGAAAAAUAUCUAAUCUUAGAUUGAAUAAUCUAUUAUCAAACUGUCUAUUUCACCUGUUGUGCUUUAGUUUUUUUAAUCCAGUAGAAUCUUGUGUUUCAAACCUAAAUAUGUCAGCAUUUUUGCUCUCUCUAAACCAAACUGAACUCAUUCGUUUCUUCUGUUCAAGAAGAAAAAUAAUUGAUCUGCAGCCGUUUCAUCCAGAAAUGAUCAAAUACAUCAAGAUUUGUCCCCAAAAAGAUAAAUAUUAAACACUAUGUCAGUUUGAUGGUACAUUGGUCAAAUUCAACUCACCGAUGUUUACAAUGAAAUGUGAUUGUUUGCCUGUUAUUUAUUUAAUUUAUCAAUGCGUUCCUCAUUUAAACUGUCUUUUGAUCUAUGUUGAGUUUUUUUUCUUUUCUUUUUUUUGUAAAGAUGUUAUAUUUUGGAGCAAACUGCAACUUUAUUGUCAAACUCAAACUGCACACUCCACCCUGAAUGUAACCCAGUUUUUUGUCAAACAAUGUUAGUAUUUAUUUUUCUGAAAUGUACUAUUUAUUAACCCGUGUCAACUUCUUUUUAUUUGCCAUACCAAUAAAGUUAUGUUUAAAUCAA